AUUGAACGCUGGCGGCAGGCCUAACACAUGCAAGUCGAGCGGAGCGGCGGACGGGUACGUAAUGCCUAGGAAUCUGCCUGGUAGUGGGGGAUAACGUCCGGAAACGGGCGCUAAUACCGCAUACUAUCAGAUGAGCCUAGGUCGGAUUAGCUAGUGGGGGGGGUAAAGGCCUACCAAGGCGACGAUCCGUAACGGGUCUGAGAGGAGGAUCAGUAAAACGGGAACUGAGACACGGUCCAGACUCCUACGGGAGGCAGCAUGGGGGAAGAUUGGAAAAUGGGCGAAAGCCUGAUCCAGCCAUGCCGGUUGGGUGAAGAAGGUCUUCGGAUGGUAAAGCAUUUUAAGUUGGGAGGCGUUACCAACAGAAUAAGCACCGGCUAACUUCGUGCCAGCAGCCGCGGUAAUUC
rnacentral:rRNA from 1 species